CAAUAGCGUAUAUUUAAGUUGCUGCAGUUAAAAAGCUCGUAGUUGGAUUUCGGGUGGGAAUGGCCGGUCCGCCGUUUCGGUGUGCACUUGCUACGCCCACCUUGCUGCCGGGGACGUGCUCUUGAGUUCACGCUCGGGACACGGAGUCGGCGAGGUUACUUUGAGUAAAUUAGAGUGUUCAAAGCAGGCCUACGCUCUGAAUACAUUAGCAUGGAAUAACACGAUAGGACUCUGGCCUAUCUUGUUGGUCUGUAGAACCGGAGUAAUGAUUAAGAGGGACAGUCGGGGGCAUUCGUAUUUCAUUGUCAGAGGUGAAAUUCUUGGAUUUAUGAAAGACGAACUACUGCGAAAGCAUUUGCCAAGGAUGUUUUCAUUAA
rnacentral:rRNA from 1 species